rfam:Hydrogenobacter thermophilus TK-6 DNA, complete genome.
GGGGACGUAGCUCAGCGGGAGAGCGCCUGCAUCGCAAGCAGGAGGUCGGGGGUUCAAAUCCCCUCGUCUCCA